rnacentral:rRNA from 1 species
AGAGUUUGAUCCUGGCUCAGGACGAACGCUGGCGGCGCGCCUAACACAUGCAAGUCGAACGGAGCUGUUUUCUCUGAAGUUUUCGGAUGGAAGAGAGUUCAGCUUAGUGGCGAACGGGUGAGUAACACGUGAGCAACCUGCCUUUCAGUGGGGGACAACAUUUGGAAACGAAUGCUAAUACCGCAUAAGACCACAGUGUCGCAUGGCACAGGGGUCAAAGGAUUUAUCCGCUGAAAGAUGGGCUCGCGUCCGAUUAGCUAGAUGGUGAGGUAACGGCCCACCAUGGCGACGAUCGGUAGCCGGACUGAGAGGUUGAACGGCCACAUUGGGACUGAGACACGGCCCAGACUCCUACGGGAGGCAGCAGUGGGGAAUAUUGCACAAUGGGGGAAACCCUGAUGCAGCGACGCCGCGUGGAGGAAGAAGGUCUUCGGAUUGUAAACUCCUGUCCCAGGGGACGAUAAUGACGGUACCCUGGGAGGAAGCACCGGCUAACUACGUGCCAGCAGCCGCGGUAAAACGUAGGGUGCAAGCGUUGUCCGGAAUUACUGGGUGUAAAGGGAGCGCAGGCGGAUUGGCAAGUUGGGAGUGAAAUCUAUGGGCUCAACCCAUAAAUUGCUUUCAAAACUGUCAGUCUUGAGUGGUGUAGAGGUAGGCGGAAUUCCCGGUGUAGCGGUGGAAUGCGUAGAUAUCGGGAGGAACACCAGUGGCGAAGGCGGCCUACUGGGCACCAACUGACGCUGAGGCUCGAAAGUGUGGGUAGCAAACAGGAUUAGAUACCCUGGUAGUCCACACCGUAAACGAUGAUUACUAGGUGUUGGAGGAUUGACCCCUUCAGUGCCGCAGUUAACACAAUAAGUAAUCCACCUGGGGAGUACGACCGCAAGGUUGAAACUCAA